AUUUAUAUAGUUUAUUUAAAACAUUACAUUUUCAUUGUGAAAAUAAAUAUAAUAAAUAUUAUUUUAUAAAUA
rnacentral:tRNA from 1 species